rnacentral:rRNA from 1 species
GAUGAACGCUGGCGGCGUGCUUAACACAUGCAAGUCGAACGAAGUGGCGCACGGGUGAGUAAUGUGUAAUCAACCUGCCCUUCAGAGGGUGACAACAGUUGGAAACGACUGCUAAUCCCGAAUACUUAAGGAGGGGAUUGCGUCUGCUUCGCGAGUUGGCGGGGUAACGGCCCACCAAGGCGAUGAUGAGUAGCCGGGCUUAGGGGAUGAACGGGCAAAAUGGGACUGAGGAACGGCCCAGACUCCGACGGGAGGCAGCAGUGGGGAAUCAUCCGAAAUGGACGAAAGUCUGGCGGAACAACGCCGCGUGAGUUAUGACGGCCUUCGGGUUGUAAAGCUCUGUUAAUCGGGGCGCGGUACCGGAAUAGGAAGCCACGGCUAACGACGUGCCAGCAGCCGCGGUAAUUC